CUUCCGCAAGCACCUACAAACUGACUGAGACAGUCUGAUGAGUGCGGCUGGUCGCAACAAUAGCAAGCGUCCGGACCUGGAUUACGGAGUGUAACGCGUUUUAAACGGCACGUUAAAUUGUGUUCCCCAGUUAAAGAAGAGAAACACCAGCAACGACAUGUGUGGUCUGAGUUUUUUUUUGUUCUGCUCAUGUACUUUCUGUUUCUUUUUGUUGAAUAGGGAUGAAAUAGCGAUUUUUCUCUAAAGCGUUCAAGUGUCAGCGGUUGACAGAAGUGGCAUCUUGUAACAAGAUUUGCUUACAAAGAUUUUUUCAAAAGAAAAAGCAGUAGUGUAAUGGAGGGGACUUCCAGCGAACAGCAGCAGCGUGGUGUCGUGAGGAAAUACUGAUGAAAGAAUACUCAUCAUGGAGAUGACCUAAUCUGACCGAUGUCACAACAGAAACCGGCCACUGGAAAUUUCAGCUACAAUGGCACUGAGGACCCAGUGUUUGCAAGUAUCCUGAUGAAAAUGUUGGGUGCCUGAUGUCAGACUGAAUACUAUGCCUCCUCUUCGGAUCAAGGGUGACUUUGCUUCUGAUCGUUCUGAUGGAACCACAGACUAAGCUUGUGAGAUGGUGCUCUCCUUUUGCUACCUAGUAGGGAUGCAGAAUUCAUGUGAUUACAGGAGUCAUGAGACUGCAGAUCCUGGAAAAUGGAACAAUAAAACAAACUGCUGGGAGAAGUCAGUAGGACAGACGUCAUGUGUGGAGGCAAAGUGACCUUUACUAUCCCUCCAGCAGUUUUUUUUUCCAUAUGAUGACACAUUGACAGCUGGCAUGAUGACUUAUUUUGGUGUUUAUCAUUUGCUCAGUAGUCAGUGUAGAUUCUGUCUACAUCCAGCAGCUACAUCUGGCUACUGGGUCUCUGAUGGCAUCACAUUGCAUUUCAGAGCCUUAUUUUUUAUGUGGCUUAAAUUAACCAGAAGAUGAAGGCUUUAGCUAACAUUCAGAUAUUUGACAGGUUUAACCUAUAAAUACCAAACUUCUGGGAUGAGCAAUAGAAAUAUUCAGAUUCAAUCAUCAAUUGCAUGUUAUUGGCAACUUUAUAAUUUUUGAUCUAUUUGGCUGCAUAAUUGAAAAUCACAUUUGUACUUUUCUUCAGGUCCUCUUGUUCUAAAUAGUCUCUUGCUGUGUCCAGUACAAUAUGUUGUUCCUCAGUCAUUCUGUCUGAAUAUGACCUGCCAUGGGUUCAUCUUCAUUGAUAGUCUACAGUGUUGACUUUGUCAUUUGGUUAAAUGUUAGAAAGUUGCUAGACAGUUUUGGAUCACAUAUCUUCCUGACCCUUGAAACUAGUCUAUUUUUCAAGUUGUGUUACUAAUUUGUUAAAUGUUAGAAAGUUGCUGAACUUUGUUGGAUCACAAUGUCUCCCUAAGCCACGGCAAAGCCCUUGUUUUUCUUUCCAAAUCUUUGAAACAUUUCAAAUCUUACUCUAAUUAUCAGAGAUGAGUAUUGUUAUGACUUGUCUUGCUCUUAUAUUGCCUAAGUAAAAGAAAUGUUUCAAGUCAAUUCCCUUGAAGCUGUAUUCUUGGUUGAAGAUGGCACAGGGGAUGAUUUUUUCCUCACAACUCUACAGCAGGGUUCCUUGCUGCUUCCCAUAUUUCUUCUAGAAUACUUAAUUGCCACGUUGUAACUCUUUAAUAAUUCUGCUCAAAAUCGUCAUUUAUGUUGCAAAGGUUGCUAAUUAAUGUGCAAAAGUUUUGAAAACAAAUGAGAUGACAGGAUGUUUUAAAUUGAGAUAUUAAGAGUCUUGCUACCGGAGACCACUAAAGUUGUUUUUUAAAAAGAUCAAUGGCAGCCCCUACUGGCAAAUACAACAAAUUGCAUGACUAUCUGGAUUUCACUGCAGAGAAAUUUAUACCAUCAAACAAUGUUCAUUCUUUAUCAGACAGUCAAUGGAACUACAUUAUGUUUUAAAUAAAUAAAUCUGAAAUUUCUACUUAUAACCAUACAACAAUUACAGCACGGAAACAGGCCAUCUCAGCCCUUCUAGUCCAUGCCGAACGCUUACUCUCACCUAGUCCCACCAACCUGCACUCAGUCCAUAAUCCUCCAUUCCUUUCCUGUCCAAAUACCUAUCCAAUUUUACUUUAAAUGACAGUACUGAACCUGCCUCUACCACUUCUAUUGGAAGCUUGUUCCACACAGCUACCACUCCGAGUAAAGAAGUUCCCCCUCGAGUAAUCCCUAAACUUUUGCCCCUUAACUCAUGUCCUCUUGUUUGAAUCUCCCCUACUCUCAAAGGAAAAAACCUAUCCAUGUCAACUCUAUCUAUCCCCCUCAUUAUUUUAAAUACCUCUAUCAAGUCCACCCUCAACCUUCUAUGCUCCAAAGAAAAAAGACCUAACUUGUUCAACUUUUCUCUGUAACUUAGGUGCUGAAACCCAGGUAACAUUCUAGUAAAUCUCUUCGGUACUCUCUCUAUUUUGUUGACAUCUUUCCUAUAAUUCAGUGACCAGAACUGUACACAAUACUCCAAAUUUGGCCUCACCAAUACUUUGUACAAUUUUAACAUUACAUCCGAACUCCUAUAUUCAGUGCUUUGAUUUAUAAAGGCCAGCAUACCAAAAGCUUUCUUCACCACCCUAUCCACAUGAGAUUCCACCUUCAGGGAACUAUGCACCAUUAUUCCUAGAUCACUCUGUUCUACUGUAUUCUUCAGUGCCCUACUAUUUACCAUGUAUGUCCUGUUUUGAUUCAUCCUACCAAGAUGUAGCACUUCACACUUAUCAGCAUUAAACUCCAUCUGCCAUCUUUCAGCCCACUCUUCUAAGUGGCCUAAAUCUCUGCAAGCUUUGAAAACCUACUUCAUUAUCCACAACGCCACCUAUCUUCGUAUCAUCUGCAUACUUACUAAUCCAAUUUACCACCCCAUCAUCCAGAUCAUUAAUGUAUAUGAUAAACAACAUUGGACCCAGUCAGAUCCCUGAGACACACCACUAGUCACCGGCCUCCAACCUGACAAACAGUUAUCCACCACUACUCUCUGGCAUCUCCCAUCCAGCCGCUGUUGAAUCCAUUUUACUACUUCAAUAUUAAUACCUAACGAUUGAACCUUCCUAACUAACCUUCCGUGUGGAACUUUGUCAAAGGCCUUACUGAAGUCCAUAUAGACAACAUCCACUGCUUUACCCUUGUCAACUUUCCUAGUAACCUCUUCAAAAAAUUCAAUAAGAUUUGUCAAACAUGACCUUCCACGCAUAAAUCCAUGUUGACUGUUCCUAAUCAGACCCUGUCUAUCCAGAUAAUUAUAUAUACCAUCUCUAAGAAUACUUUCCAUUAAUUUACCCACCACUGAUGUCAAACUGACAGGCCUAUAAUUGCUAGGUUUACUCUUAGAACCCUUUUUAAACAAUGGAACCACAUGAACAAUAUGCCAAUCCUCCGGCACCAUCCCCAUUUCUAAUGACAUUUGAAAUAUUUCUGUCAGAGCCCCUGCUAUUUCUACCUAACUUCCCUCAAGGUCCUAGGGAAUAUCCUGUCAGGACCCAGAGACUUAUCCACUUUUAUAUUCUUUAAAAGCGUCAGUACUUCCUCUUCUUUAAUCAUCAUAGUUUUCAUAACUACUCUACUUGUUUCCCCUACCUUAGACAAUUCAAUAUCCUUCUCCUUAGUGAAUAUCGAAGAAAAUAAAUUGUUCAAAAUCUCCCCCAUUUCUUUUGGCUCCACACAUAGCUGUCCACUCUGAUUCUCUAAGGGACCAAUUUUAUCUUUCACUAUCCUUUUGCUAUUAAUAUAACUGCUAUUAAUAUAAUUAAUAUUAAUAUAAAACCCUUUGGAUUUAUUUUCACCUGACUUGCCAAAGCAACCUCAUCAUCUUUUAGCUUUUCCAAUUUCUUUCUUAAGAUUCUUUUUACAUUCUGUAUAUUCCUCGAGCACCUCAUUUACUCCAUGCUGCCUAUAUUUAUUAUAGAUCUCUCUCUUUUUCCAAACCAAGUUUCUAAUAUCCCUUGAAAACCAUGGCUCUCUCAAACUUUUUAUCUUUCCUUUCAAUCUAACAGGAACAUAAAGAUUCUGUACCCUCAAUUUCACCUUUAAAUGACCGCCAUUUCUCUAUUACAUCCUUCCCAUAAAACAAAUUAUCCCAAUCCACUCCUAAAUCCUUUUGCAUCUCCUCAAAUUUAGCCUUUCUCCAAUCAAAACUCUCAAACCUAUGUCCAGUCCUCUCCUUCUCCAUAAUUAUAUUGAAACUAAUGGCAUUGUGAUCACUGGACCUGAAGUGUUCCCCAACACAUCCCUCCGUCACCUGACCUAUCUCAUUCCCUAACAGGAGAUCCAACACUGCCCCUUCUCUGGUUCGUACUCUAUGUAUUGCUGCAAAAGCCUAUCCUGCACACAUUUUACAAACUCCAAACCAUCCAGCCCUUUUACAGAUUGAGCUUCCCAGUCUAUGUGUGGAAAAUUAAAAUCUCCCACAAUCAUAACCUUGUGCUUACCACAAAUAUCUGCUAUCUCCUUACAAAUUUGCUCCUCCAAUUCUCGCUCCCCACUA